GCGUAGAAAUGCAAUUUCACAUUGUUUGUCGAGUGAGUUAAGAUUUGUUAUCGCGUACAAUUCAUCCGUUUUUUAAGGAUUACCGGGAUGAGUAGUGUUGAAAUCUACUACAGCUGUGAACUUUUAAUAUAAUUUUAAUUGGAAUGUUUUCCGUAGAAAACGUCAUGCCUUUUCUAAUGGGGCUUCUUGAAAUCAUGCAUAAUGAAGUGAGCACAAAGUAUCCGGAAGAUAUCGUUCACCGUUUUAUUCAAGCAUCGCGUUAUAUGUCUCCCAAGAUGAAAGUAUAAUGUUGCGGAAGAAGUUAUCGAAGAGAAGAGUGAACUUGAAUAUCUGAUGUAUGUACAACGUGCGUACGGUUUCUUCGAAGAAUCACAAAUUGCUGAUAUUCCGCAAGAACCGAGCGACAGCAACCAAAUGCAAGGUUUUAGCAAUAAAUUUAUGCUGGCAAUGGCGAUGAAUAUUCAAAACCCUGCAAAUUUUUUAGUAUUGCGCUGGAUUUUUUGCGCUCCAUUAUCAUGCUCUCACUCAGGUGGAUCUAACAAUAAAUACUGGAUUCCCCCCU